AUCAACCUGUCUUCCUCCAGAAUGGCAUUCGGUUUAUUGCACACACACUUAUGCAGCCUCUCCCCAUCUUCCUACACAAGCUAUUAAUAAAGAACAAUGUCAGAAACGUUUGAAACUAGACGCAGCCCAAUUUAAUUUCUAUCCAUUCUAAUUGUAUCUUUUAAUCUUUGAUCAGCUCUUCACACUUGAGCUUGUUACUUUGAGCCUCAAGGUACGUCAGUCAUGAUUAUAUGACCAACUGUCUGUUUUCCUCCUUCUGUUCACCACUUAAAGGUGCAAUCCUGAAUUCAAAUGCAAUAGAUCAGCAUACAAGUCACAUACUGUAUGCAAUAUACUAUUUCAGCCAAUCAGCACUUUCCUGUCCUCCUUUUCUGUGAACUAGCCAACAGUGACAAAUGGUUAGAUAUUUCUUUUAGAUAAAAAAAAAGACAGACAGAAAAAUAUAAGUUCUCAUGCAGCUUGUAAUUGCAAAAUGAUCUUUCAUCUUGAACAAUGAGCCUUCAUUUUGUGUUCAAGAUGUUCCAGGUCCAUACAACCAGAAAAGUAAUCUUCCUUUUAUCCAUGCUGGUUUGUCCUUCAGGUGAGAAAAUGCACGAUUGCAUGAGGUGCAUGAUAAAAAUAAAGAUGAAAAGAUGAUCACCAAUUAAAAUUCCACCAAAACAUGUUUUUGUGUCUAUUCAUGCUUCAUAUGUGUGUGAUUCAAGUGUCUGAUAGACAAUUUCUAACCCCAGACCUCACUGGAUGUCAACCUGGCCGCCCUGGCAACCCUGGUUCUUCUGGAUCUCAUGGCCCGCCUGGACCUCGUGGCGGCAAUGGACCUCGUGGCGGCAAUGGACCACCUGGCCCCCCUGGCCCCACUGCCCUCCCUGGAAAACCGGGCCUACCUGGUCCACCUGGCCCCCGUGGACCUCCCGGCCCCCCCGGACCACCUAGCAUGACUGGAUCAUCUGGCCGUGAUGGACCUACUGGUCCCCAGCAAUCUGCACCUGCUCUGAAGGAGCGCUUUGCAAUUGAGGAACAACAGCGAGAACAUCAUUUUGACAGGUAAGGACAAGAGGUCAUUUAUUUGCUUUGAAGUGAGACAUUGACCUUUUUCCUACUCACUGAGGUGGUGUGAUGUGAUGUUGAUCUGAUCCCCAGUUGUAAUGAGGGCUCAAUAAGUCCUUACUGUAGCUGGUUGGGAGGGUGUGGCCACUGUGGUGCAUUGGUAAGAAUACAUGGAUGAUAACUUCAGUGACGUUUAUUUAUAAGAACAGGUAAGUGGGAGUGAGUGCGUGGUUCAACAGAACAAACAAACAAUGUUAGCACACAACUCAAUGACUCAAAGCAUUAAUCCGUACAUAACUGACAAUGCUAAUAGCAUACCUCAUGGCUCUA
rnacentral:lncRNA from 1 species